rnacentral:rRNA from 1 species
AAGACCUUGCGCUUUUGGAGCGGCCGAUGCCUGAUUAGCUUGUUGGUAAGGUAAAAGCUUACCAAGGCUUCGAUCAGUAGCUGGUCUGAGAGGACGGCCAGCCACACUGGGACUGAGACACGGCCCAGACUCCUACGGGAGGCAGCAGUGGGGAAUUUUGGACAAUGGGGGCAACCCUGAUCCAGCCAUGCCGCGUGAGUGAAGAAGGCCUUCGGGUUGUAAAGCUCCUUCAGCCGGAACGAAACGGUUACGGUUAAUACCCGUGACUACUGACGGUACCGGAAGAAGAAGCACCGGCUAACUACGUGCCAGCAGCCGCGGUAAUACGUAGGGUGCGAGCGUUAAUCGGAAUUACUGGGCGUAAAGCGUGCGCAGGUGGUUUUGUAAGUCAGAUGUGAAAGCCCCGGGCUCAACCUGGGAACU